rnacentral:misc_RNA from 1 species
GUAGGUGAACCUGCGGAAGGAUCAUUAAUGAAAUCAUAGCGGUCGUCUGUGCUGGUGGCAACACAUGUGCACGUCGAUUGCAAAUCCACACACCUGUGCACCUUUGACUGUGGGGUCCGCUUGUUGGUUUAUUCUGACGAGCAGCUGGUCGAACGUCGUGUUUGACUGGGGUCUCAUGGUAUUUUUACACACUCUGAAUGUAAUGGAAUGUCUUUGCAUAACGCAUAUAAAUACAACUUUCAACAACGGAUCUCUUGGCUCUC